UUUGUGUUUUUGCAGUAAAAUCCAGAAUCAGCUCAUAAAAAAGCGACUCUAUCGUCUGUGAGUUCAGUGUUUUAGGUGUGCUGGUUCUGUGACAUCUGACCUAAUUAAACCGUUUGGACCCAAACAAACAGCAAUGGUUGCUGCAGUGACCCCAGCAGGCCGCUCUGUGACCCUUAGUUACUGUUGCUACGCUGGUCAAACACACCUCCUCCUCCUCCUGCAGGUCAGACACCGUUCUGACCCCGAAACCCGACGCAGAUCAAGAAAAGCCGCCGCUGCUUCUGCUGCUUUCCUUGGAAACUGAGCCUCAGAGGGUUGGGGGGGCUUUCCUUUCUGUUUCUGGCUCUUUCUCCCACUGAGGAGCCAUAUAAGGAGAGGAGCUGCUGGGGCCCAGCGUGCUGCAGAUCACACGCCGUUUUACUGGAAACAUCCACAGUGAGAGACGCAGGAAGCAGCAUGAGCUCAAACACGGCAGGAAUGCUGGGAAUGUCAGGAACGAGUACAGCAACAAUAACAUGACAGGCGGGAACAGGACGUCACCUGGCUGCAGGCCACGCCGAGCCGGAGACACAAACCGCCUGAGCCUGAAAGGUCAGACACCCACAGCGACCUUUACUCCACUUUCCAUGUUCUGCUGAAACUCGAACCUGAGGACGGUCCGUCCCGGAAGGCUGCCGCCGCCGCCAGGAAUCCGGAGCCCGCGGGACGGAACCUGCAGUCCCGCAGGAAGAGCCGCCUCCCCUGGCUGUUAGCUGUCCUUCCACUGCCUGCCAGAAAUGUCUUCUUAUGAAAAAAUGUAUGUUAUUCAGUUUGACGCAAAACAAAAUCCUGUCAAACAAAAUCCUGUCGACUGCAUUCACAGGUUUUAACACUAAAGUUGCUCCACUCUCUCAGUCUUUACUAAACUUCUUAAAUACUUAAAAAUAACUACGAUGUUUUGAUAUUUUGUUUUAAUUAGAGUCAACUUAAGUAGAUAAAAAUCCCCAAACUAGUGGGUGUUCUUAUCUAGCGCAUUAGCAAACCUCUGCUAAUCAAAAAUCUUGCUCCAGUAUUAGCAUAGCUGAUUUUUCGUGGAGCACGUUAGCAUUUUUACUAAUUUUGAAAACGUUUACCACACUUAUCUUAACAUGAAUUGGUUUUCUGGAUGAAUUAUAAAGUAUGUAUUUAGUUGGCUGUUUUGUAAACUUUCAGUUGAAUAAAGUUCAACAUCUGUGGUGAA